CAGUGUGUGGUGAAGAUAGGACUAACACGGGCGAUUGUGAGUCGUCUAUUCGAGGGUUCGAAUCCCUCCAUGCUGAUAA
rnacentral:tRNA from 1 species